AUUGAACGCUGGCGGCAUGCCUAACACAUGCAAGUCGAACGGCAGCACAGCAGUAGCAAUACUGUGGGUGGCGAGUGGCGGACGGGUGAGGAAUACGUCGGAAUCUGCCCAGUCGUGGGGGAUAACUAGCCGAAAGGUUAGCUAAUACCGCAUACGACCGAGAGGUGAAAGCGGGGGACCGGCAAGGCCUCGCGCGAUUGGAUGAGCCGACGUCGGAUUAGCUAGUUGGCGGGGUAAAGGCCCACCAAGGCGACGAUCCGUAGCUGGUCUGAGAGGAUGAUCAGCCACACUGGAACUGAGACACGGUCCAGACUCCUACGGGAGGCAGCAGUGGGGGAAUAUUGGACAAUGGGCGCAAGCCUGAUCCAGCAAUACCGCGUGUGUGAAGAAGGCCUCGGUGUAAGCACUUUAUCAGGAACGAAAGACGUGGUAUUAAUAUACUGACGUGCU
rnacentral:rRNA from 1 species